AGUUGUCCUAUCAUCAGAGUAGAAUUUUGGAUUUGUUGAUAAAAUUACUGGUAACAGUGAUUGGACAUGCAUGAGAGGAAGGAAACAAUCAACAACAAAUUAUUGGGGACAUUGAAGAAGACCCUAUUUAUCUUCAGAGAAAACCCUUUUCUAAUAGACAAUGAUAUCCUCAGGUACAGAAAUGAUAAGCUAAAGUACAAAGCAUCAGUGCAUUUAUCUCUUCACAGAGCAUUUUGGGGGCUACUACCUUAGGCUAGGCAUUGAGUCUUGCCUAGAGAUACAAAGAUGCUCUCAAGGAGCUUAACCAGACUAGGGGCCUUGAUGUGCCCAUCACAGGACUGGGUGAUAGGUGACAGGGCAUACCCAAGAUGUGACUGACAUAAAAAGGAAGACACAUUUGCCCAAUUUAACAACCCCCUUUUGGUUGAUACAAAAUAUUACCCCAAGAGAAAAGUACUUGGAAAGGUGGAGUUUGAUAAGAGGGAUGGUGGGAGGAGGCAAUUUAGAAGCUUAAUCUGGUAGAAGAAGGAGGCAUACUUAAGUGGCUAAAUAUAAAAAAUUUAUAUCUAUAUAUCUAUACCCAAAUGUAGACUUGAAUCCCAUAUUGAAGUAAUACACUAGAUAUAUGGAAUGAUUGGCCAAUGGGAACCUGUUGUAUAGCACAGAAAACUCUACCCAGUAUUCUGGGAUAAUUUACAUGGGAAAAGAAUCUGAGAGAAAAUUGAUAUGUGUGUAUGUAUGACUAGGUCAUUUUGUUGUGCAGCAGAAAUAACCACAACCUUGUAAAUUAACUAUACUUCAAUACAACUUAAAAAAAUAAAAAAUACAAAAAAUGCGAUUGCAGAUUUUGUAGCAAGAGAAACCCACAUUAAAUUAUGCUGUCCAACUUUCCGCCUUUAACCAGGGGAGGUAUCAUCUAUAUUUUGCUGAAGCAAUGCCCCAAAAGUUAACUAUUUGCCUACAAUCUAUCUGAAAUGAAGAGUGUAUCCAGAGCAGAAGACUCUGGGUUCCAAAUGAAGUGUUUCGUCCAAAGCAUCAGGUUCUAUAUAGGACAUAGUAGGCAGAACACCACCCCCACCAUCCCACCCUCCCACGAGUCCAUGCCCUAUUUCUGGAACCUGUGAAUAUGUUACCCUACAUGACAAAAGGGACUUUUCAGAUGCGAUUAAAGUUAAGGACCUUGAAAUGGGAAAUUCUGGAUACUCCAGGUGGGCCUAAUCCAAGGAGGAGGUGUAAAGAAGAGUCAAAGAGGUGCAAUGUUACUAGCUUUGACAUGGAGGAAGGGGAUCAGGAGCCAGAGAAUAUGGGCCGUCUCUAGAAACCAGAAAAGGCAUGGAAAUGAACUAUCUCCUGGAGCUUCUGAAAAGAAAUGUGGCCCUACAGACAUUUUGAUUUUAGAACAGACUUCAGGCUUAUAGAACUGUAAGAUAAUACAUUUGUGUUGCUUUAAGCUACUUAAAAUGUAGUAAUUUGUUAUAGCAGCAAGAUAAAACUAAUACAUAACAUAACUAGAAUUUUAAAUGAUUAUUUAACGUUUACCCAGAGGGCUCAAAAUAGAGCACAUUUCAGUAAUUCAGGGUGAAAAAUUUGGCUUCUUCUCCAUCUUGAAGAUUACUAGAUAACUUCAAGAGUAAAAACAUAUUCGUUGAUCAUUAGUUUGCUUCCUACUGUUUCAGGGACUAACUUGUAGUUUGAUUAAAUAGCAUUGACUCCUCUUUCACAAAUGGAACCUGAUUUAUUUUUUCUCAGAGGAUGAUAGAGAACAGUUCUUUUUUCCUUUUUUUUUUUUUUUUGUUUUUUGUUUUUUGUUUUUAGGGCCAUACUUGCAGCAUAUGGAAGUUCCCAGGUUAGGGGUUGAAUCUUGAAUUGGAGCUACAGCUGCUGGCCUACACCACAGCCACAACUUGGGACCCGAGCCGCAUCUGUGACCUACACCACAGCUCAUGGCAAUCCAGAUCCUUCACCCACUGAGCAGAGCCAGGCAUUAAACUCAGAUCUUCACAGUUACUAGUCGGGUUUGUUUCCACUGAGCCACAACGGGAAACUCCUGGACAAUGUUGCUUGAGGGCAGUUUUGGCUCCAAUACUAGUUACUAAGUUUUUCCUAUUUGCUUUGUUUUGUUCUGGAUAUGGUUAGCUAGUAUCAUCCUUAUUAUGAAUUUGGGACAGAUAAUGAAAAUUUAGAAUUCUCGAACUAUUAAAAGGGAAAGCAAGUGUUUUAAACACAUUCCGUGUUUUUAUGUGCCUGCUUGUUUUCAGUUAAUUUCUUGCUUUUUUUUUUUGAGGCUAUGUGGGGGUUACUAUUGCUUCCUCUCAUUUGUUACAGAAGUAAAGAGAAAGCAGCUAUCCUGGGAAUUAGAACUGUUAUUAGACUCAAAACAUUUAAUUAAACAAUACAUUUGGUGACUUCUAAUCAUGUUAAAUUAAUCUCCUCAGUUUUGUCUUUAUAUUACUCAGGAAAAGCUAGGCUAUGUUGUAUUAAUAAAUAAAUACUCAGAGGCUAAACAGCAAAGUAUAUUGCUCAUCAGCCUGAAACCUUCCUUAAUCAGGUUCCAUGUGUAGAUUUGCCCCAAGGUAUGGCUUGGUCCUUUAUUUGGGGGCCUCCAUGUGUGCCCAGGCAGAAGAAGGGGGGCUGGUUAUUCAAGUGCACCAACUUUUAAAAUGCCUUGGUUUAAAAUUGGCACUUGUCAUGUCUCCUUAUACGGCAGUCACAUGGCCCCUAACUGGGAAACUGAGAGAAUUGCAUGGCUAUUCAAUGGGAAGUAAAUGCCUCAGCUGCAGUCCCCCAAUGUCCUAAAAUCAAAUUUUACGAAGAAGCUGACAUGAAAGUCAAAAUUUCUACUGGUAAUUUAAGGACAACAAACGCUUCAAGUUUUGUACUUCUUUGUCAUAUGGCACCAAUUUGGUUGGCCUUAUAAAAAUGGUAUCAGUCAUUUUUUAAAAAAAGUUCAAUCACAAGAAAGUAAAGCAAGAAAGUACUAUUAAAUGCCAAAAGGAGUUCUGAGACUUUAUUAGUAUACAGCAGGACACACACAAUAUAUGGAAGGAGUCCUGGGUGAGAAACUCUUUUCCUUUUUUUUUUUUUCUUUUCUCUUUUUAAAUUCACUUUGAUAUUUCUUUUCCUAGCUCUAUACAUACUGAUGUUCCAUAAACGAUCAAAUGCAUGAGUGAAUGAAUGAAUAAAUGAAUGAAACCCCAUGUAAUCGGAUAAAGCCUCUCCAUGUCUACAUCCUCAUCUACAAAAUGAGGAGCUAUCAUCACUUUUUCGGUAUUCCAAAUUCUAUUAGGUAUGGAAUUUUAGUAACCAAACUUCAAAGUAGGUAUCAACUUAUUUAAAGCAAUCUUCUCAUCUCUGGACUGGAGAUCCCUGAAACCCUUUUUAGGUCUUUAUUUAUAAUUAUGGAUACUUAUUAUAUGUUUGUCCAAAUUCAUAGAAUGUACAACACCAAGAGGGAACUCUGAUGUAAACUAUGAGCUUGGGGUGAUAAUAAUAUGUCAACGUAAGUUCAUCCUUGGUAAAAAUAUAUAUCAUUCCGGUGAGUAAUGUUGAUGAGAGAGGCUAGCCAUGGGUGGGAACAGGGGAUAUAUGGGAAACCUCUGUAGUCCCUCUCGAUUUUGUUGUAAACCUAAAACUGCACCAAAAAAAAAAAAAAAAAAAAAAAAAA
rnacentral:lncRNA from 1 species